UCCAUCUUCCUUGGAGAGUCCUUUCUACUUGUAUGACAGAUGGCCUGAGGGACUUGUGAAGAUGAGGAUGCUGGUGCCUGGCCAUUGCUGAAGAGACUCCAUGUAGCAGCUGACACUUGCAACCCUGGGACUUUGGAAGCUGAGGUAACAAAAGCUUGUUGAGAGUUUGAGGCCAGCUUAAAAGGUGAGCCUAUGGGCUGGGGCUGGAGAGAUGGUUCAGUGGUUAGGAACACUUGUUCUCACAGAGAGCCCGAGUUGCUGAGUGUGUUGUUCCAUGCCUUUAAUCCCAGCAUUCAGGAUCCAAAAGUAGGUAGACCACAUUCUCUGACAAAGUUUUAUUAUAAAACUGGUAACAAAAUAUGUCCUAAACACACAGUUGAAUGGUCCACAGGUGUGGUCUAGAUGCCCAUGUCAGAGCUCUGGGCAGGCACACGUGUACUGGGACAAAGAAGUUUUCUGGUCCUAGGGUUUGGAUUCUGAACACAGCCUCAAGAAAAUUCUUAGCAUGUUCUCUUCAGGAGGUGCACUCUGCUGGCUCUACCUUACUCCAUCCUGAUGAUGAUGAUGAUAAUAACAAACAAAGACAACAAUAUAUCAAUAAUAUAAUACUUAUGCAUAUUAUUAUUAAGUAAUCGUUUCUAAAAUGUGGCUUGGACCACACCUGUCAUCCAAGCACUCAAGAGCCUGAGGCCAGAAGAUUGUUCGUGGACGUCCAGAGCUAGAGUAAGUUCCAGUAGCGCUGGGAUACAGUGAGACUCCGUCUCGACAAAGCAAAUCCACACAAAACUUUGGUGGUGAUUAAAGAGCUGGACAUCAUAGCCGGCUUCUUCCAGCAGUCCUGACUCCUGGCACACCGCUGAGCCAACCACAUUCAAAUACUCAAAAGUAAACAUUUGUUGAGUGAACUUAUGAACAAACGGCGGCGUCAAUCUUCCCGCCCUCAUUACUGGUAGCCAGUGCCCGCCCGGCCUGUCACCCUCAGGCUAAAACCCCCGCAGGUGGCGCAACGGACAACCUAAGCCUCCUCGCUAGACCAACAAGGACUGCAUUUCCCAGAAGACUCUGCGCGGGCCCACGACUCCCUGUGAGCUUCUCUUUCUCCAGGCUCUGGUUCUUCAGUCAGGGGGUCCGCUUUGCGUGCUCACUCCCCGGUCACUGCAAUCCCAUUCCCUGUACCUUUCUGAACUUCCAUUCCACGAUGAUCCUGCCUCAGUUUCUCCAGUGAGCCCCCCGCGAGGCUUCCCCUCCUCCCCGUGCCCCCAGUGAGCCGUGCUGCGCGCGCAGCUCUGGUCCAGCCUCAUUGAGGGGACGAGUCGCAGGUAUUCCUGGACCAUGGAGACAUCCUCGCCGAGGGCGGCAGUCCGCGCUUCCGGGUGUGUCUGCAGUUCUGUGUGCCGCCGCGUAGGGUGGGACCCCGAGACUGCAGCCUGGCACGUGAUGUGUGUGUGUGUGUGUGUCUUGUCUGAUGUGUCGGUGUCCCUGACGGCCAGGUUCCAGCCUUACCUCUGCCUAUCCCCUGUUCUGUGCAUGGGGCAGGUGACUGCCCCUCUCUGUGCCUCAGUUUCCUUACCUAUACAUUGGGCAUGAAAAAAGAACCUGUCUUGGGGGCUGUUGUAAUGAUUGGAAGGUAAUACUGUAAAUCUUGGGAAACGCCUGGCGCAGAGUAAAUCCUGCCAAGAAUAAAUACAUG
rnacentral:lncRNA from 1 species